UUUCUCAGAGAAUAAUUAUGAAGGUACCUGAGGAAUCAGCAUCGGCUAACUCCGUGCCAGCAGCCGCGGUAAUACGGAGGAUGCAAGCGUUAUCCGGAAUGAUUGGGCGUAAAGGGUCYGCAGGUGGCAGUGAAAGUCUGCUGUCAAAGAGUGCAGCUCAACCGCAUAAAGGCAGUGGAAACUACACAGCUAGAGUAAGUUAGGGGCAGAGGGAAUUCCUGGUGUAGCGGUGAAAUGCGUAGAGAUCAGGAAGAACACCGGUGGCGAAAGCGCUCUGCUAGGACGAAACUGACACUGAUGACGACUUUGUU
rnacentral:rRNA from 1 species